rnacentral:misc_RNA from 1 species
AUUGGGCAUUUUUGUUUUCUUAUAAAUAAUGCUUGGACAAUGAGAAAGUGUACUUUGUUUAGCUAGCCUAGAAAACAAGACAAGGACAAUUAGCAAUUUGACAAGGUGAGAAACAUUGGGCCAUGAUGACCUCAUUGUUUCCACAUUUUAGCAGUAUGGUUAAUUGUUAAUGUUAAUCGUUUUACAAUCAAAUUAAAUGUGCUAUCAUUCUUUUACAAUAUCAAAUUACGUUAUUGAAGAUGUCAGCAACCAUGUCACACUUGAAAGAUGCUUUAAUAUAUUUUACACUUUUA